rnacentral:rRNA from 1 species
AUGCCGUGGCAUCUGCAGGUCGCGAGCGCGCUGGCCAUGGAGUUCCUGCCGGACAGCAUCCCCGCGGUGUUCGCCGCCGCGGCGGCCGCGCUGUACGCGCGCUCGGCGUCGUCCCUGCUCCGGCCGCGCCUCGCCGCGCUGCUCCCGGUGCUCGCGCUCCUCGCGGCCGCGCCGCUGGCCUUCGCCUCCUCCGCCAUCGUCCGGGGCGUCGCCGCCUUCUUCCUCGCCUGGCUCGGCGCCUUCAAGGUCGCCCUCCUCGCCGCUCGACCCCGCCCUCCCCGUGCUCCCGUUCCUCUUCACCGCCCUGCUCCCCGUCAAGCUCCGGCGCCGCGGCGCCGCUGGAGCAGCGUCCGAGGCCAAGGCGGCGCUGCUCAAGGACGAGUGGGCUGCCGUGGCGGCAUUCUUCCUCGACGCCGGCCGAAAGAUGAAUUCCAUUGUUGUACAGUCAACGGAGUAGCUAGCAAUAGUAAUUGCUUCCAUGAAAGCAGUCAAAUCAUAGAUCACCAAGUGAACUUCUCUGAUGGAUGGUUCAGUGAAAACGAAAAGCGCCGUUGA